GUUCCUAUAGCUCAGUGGUAGAGUGCUUGCUUUCCAUGCAUAAAGUCCCAGGUUCAAUCCUGGGCAUGUUCAGGUAGGGAAUG